rnacentral:rRNA from 1 species
UUUUAUGGAGAGUUUGAUCCUGGCUCAGGACGAACGCUGGCGGCGUGCCUAAUACAUGCAAGUCGAGCGGACUCAAUUAAAGCUUGCUUUAUGAGAGUUAGCGGCGGACGGGUGAGUAACACGUGGGCAACCUGCCCUGUAGACUGGGAUAACUUCGGGAAACCGAAGCUAAUACCGGAUAAUCUUAGGAACCUCAUGGUUCUUAAGUAAAAGUUGGGUUUACCUAACACUACAGGAUGGGCCCGCGGCGCAUUAGCUAGUUGGUAAGGUAACGGCUUACCAAGGCGACGAUGCGUAGCCGACCUGAGAGGGUGAUCGGCCACACUGGGACUGAGACACGGCCCAGACUCCUACGGGAGGCAGCAGUAGGGAAUCUUCCGCAAUGGACGAAAGUCUGACGGAGCAACGCCGCGUGAGCGAUGAAGGCCUUCGGGUCGUAAAGCUCUGUUGUUAGGGAAGAACAAGUACNGUUCAAAUAGGGCNGUACCUUGACGGUACCUAACGAGAAAGCCACGGCUAACUACGUGCCAGCAGCCGCGGUAAUACGUAGGUGGCAAGCGUUGUCCGGAAUUAUUGGGCGUAAAGCGCGCGCAGGCGGUCUCUUAAGUCUGAUGUGAAAGCCCNCGGCUCAACCGNGGAGGGUCAUUGGAAACUGGGAGACUUGAGUNCAGAAGAGGAGAGUGGAAUUCCAUGUGUAGCGGUGAAAUGCGUAGAUAUAU